UGUUCUCUCCUCUGAGCUGGAAACCACCCGGCUAGCCUUUGUUGAGUAAUUCUUUAGUCUCAGUGAGGGUUACAGCAUUGACCCCAGCCCCUUCUUUAACCUUUCAACCUUUUCUCAAAAGGUUGUCCAGGCUUGAGCAGUCGUCUGUUUAGUUCUGUAGGCCUGGUCCUUGUCAGAGGUCUGGCAGGGGCUCCAUCUGGAGCCUGUGUUGACCAGACUGGCUGAUUGGCAGUCCUGCUGUGCGUGCAUCAAGCAGGGGUGGAGAUGUCACCUCCGGGAAUGCAGGACAUUGUCCUGUGCACUCGUUCACUCCGUUCCCAGCCCUGACAACCUGAUGAUUGAGUGCCCAGACGAGAGAAUUUUCACGAUAGCCCUAGGAGGCAGGUCGGUUAUUAUUCACAUUCUACAGAUGAGGAGAUUGAGGCUCAGAGAAGAGAAAUUACUCCUCCAAGGUCACAGAGUGGAUGAUCGGUGGAGCCAGGUCUUUCUCCGAAGCAGAGAGAGUUCCUUCCUCUGACCCCACCACCUCUCCCCACCCCCAACCACUCCCCACGCGCUCUCACCUCUUGGGGACAUUGAGGACACUGAUGGGCAGGUAGCAGAGGGCAAAGACCAGCAGCACCACCAUCAGCAU